AUUCCAUGAUGAGGGUAAUUUCGUAAUAGCUCUUUAAACCUUUUUCACGCCUCAUACAAGGACUCUUCAUCCAUCUGUUGGAAGGUAGUGAUCUCGUUCCUCAACAU
rfam:Gossypium raimondii Chr05_contig_490, whole genome shotgun sequence.